AGUGAACGCUGGCGGCGUGCUUAACACAUGCAAGUCGAGCGGAAGUUGAAGAGCUUGCUCUUCAACUUUAGCGGCGGACGGGUGAGUAACACGUGGGCAACCUGCCCUGCAGAUCGGGAUAACUCCGGGAAACCGGUGCUAAUACCGAAUAGUUUUCGCCACCUCCUGGUGGCGUACGGAAAGACGGUUUCGGCUGUCACUGCAGGAUGGGCCCGCGGCGCAUUAGCUAGUUGGUGGGGUAACGGCCCACCAAGGCGACGAUGCGUAGCCGACCUGAGAGGGUGAUCGGCCACACUGGGACUGAGACACGGCCCAGACUCCUACGGGAGGCAGCAGUAGGGAAUCUUCCGCAAUGGACGAAAGUCUGACGGAGCAACGCCGCGUGAGUGACGAAGGUUUUCGGAUCGUAAAACUCUGUUGUGAGGGAAGAACAAGUACCAACUAACUACUGGUACCUUGACGGUACCUCACCAGAAAGCCACGGCUAACUACGUGCCAGCCGCCGCGGUAA
rnacentral:rRNA from 1 species